GGCUAUAGCCCAGUUGGUAUGUGCGUGAUGUUUGUGUCGUUGAGGUUGCGAGUUCGAAUCCGACUCGCUGCCA
rnacentral:tRNA from 1 species